GGUUCAGGAUGAACGCUAGCGACAGGCUUAACACAUGCAAGUCGGAGGGGCAGCAAUAAAAGUAGCAAUACGUUGGUGGCGACCGGCGCACGGGUGAGUAACGCGUAUGCAACCUACCUAUCAGGAGGGGAAUAACCCGGCGAAAGUCGGACUAAUACCGCAUAAAGCAGGGGCACCGCAUGGUGAUAUUUGUUAAAGAAAUUCGCUGAUAGAUGGGCAUGCGUUCCAUUAGGUAGUUGGUGAGGUAACGGCUCACCAAGCCGACGAUGGAUAGGGGAACUGAGAGGUUGGUCCCCCACACUGGUACUGAGACACGGACCAGACUCCUACGGGAGGCAGCAGUGAGGAAUAUUGGUCAAUGGGCGGGAGCCUGAACCAGCCAAGUCGCGUGAAGGAAGAAGGAUCUAUGGUUCGUAAACUUCUUUGCAGGGGAAUAAAGUGCAGGACGUGUCCUGUUUUGUAUGUACCCUGAGAAUAAGGAUCGGCUAACUCCGUGCCAGCCGCCGC
rnacentral:rRNA from 1 species